UACGAGGGGGGCGAGCGUUGUUCGGAAUUAUUGGGCCUAAAGCAUCCGUAGCCGGUCCUACAAGUCUUCCGUUAAAUCCACCUGCUUAACAGAUGGGCUGCGGAAGAUACUAUAGGGCUAGGAGGCGGGAGAGGCAAGCGGUACUCAGUGGGUAGGGGUAAAAUCCUCUGAUCCAUUGAAGACCACCAGUGGCGAAGGCGGCUUGCCAGAACGCGCUCGACGGUGAGGGAUGAAAGCUGGGGGAGCAAACCGG
rnacentral:rRNA from 1 species